GGGCGAUUAGCUCAGCUGGUAGAGCAGCUGACUCUUAAUCAGCAGGUCACAGGUUCGAGCCCUGUAUCGCCCA
rnacentral:tRNA from 1 species